UACGUAGGGUGCAAGCGUUAAUCGGAAUUACUGGGCGUAAAGCGUGCGCAGGCGGUUGGGCAAGUCAGAUGUGAAAUCCCCGGGCUUAACCUGGGAAUGGCAUUUGUGACUGCCCGGCUAGAGUGUGUCAGAGGGGGGUAGAAUUCCACGUGUAGCAGUGAAAUGCGUAGAGAUGUGGAGGAAUACCGAUGGCGAAGGCAGCCCCCUGGGAUAACACUGACGCUCAUGCACGAAAGCGUGGGGAGCAAAAGGG
rnacentral:rRNA from 1 species